rnacentral:rRNA from 1 species
CGAUUAGGUAGUUGGUGGGGUAAGGGCUACCAAGCCGACGAUCGAUAGCCAAGCUUGAAAGAGCUGAUGGCCACAUUGGGAAUGAAAUCUCCCAAGUAGCGUUACGCUACCAGCAGUCGAGAAUCUUAGUCAAUGCUCGAAAGAGUGAACUAGCUAACUGAAAUCAUGGAUGUGUCAUCUGUGAUAACGUAAGGGAAAAUAAUGAUGUUACCUUACUAUUAGUGUCGUCCAAGCACUGGUGCCAGAAGACUCGGUAAGGCCAGAGACGCAAACGUUAGUCGUCUUAAACAGGCGUAAAGGGUAUGUAGGCUGCUUUAAGUAUCUUAAAUUUUAAAAAUCUACUCUUUUUAUUGACUAUCCUCGUUCAAAAGUGAUUCUUAGAACGUAUGGUACCUUAAUAUUAAGCUAAAAUUAAAAAUAAGAUCAAUUAAAGCUAGAAUCAAGAAGAGGUUAUAUUAUAUAAUACUUAGUGAAGGAUUGAAAUCUUUAUAUAUUAAGUGGAAUACUAAUGGCGAAAGCAUUUUUCCAAUACUGAUUGACGCUGAGAAACGAAAGGGAGGAUAGGGAUUAGGAUUAGAUACCCUCGUACCCCUCUCUGUCAACGAUGAAUGGUGGUUACUAGAUUUAUAAAGUCUAGAGACGAUGUUAACACGAAAACCAUUCCGCCUUGUGAGUACGACUGCAAAGUUGAAAACAAAAAAAUUAGUCGGUCUCGGAGCAAACGAAUUGAAGCAUGUUAUUUAAUACGAUACCACGCGUAAAACCUUACCAGUUCUUGUAUACUAACUUUUUACUAAUAUAUUUCAAAUAAAAAUAAAUUCAAAAAAGUAGAAUCUAAAAAAAAAUAAACUAAAAAUAG